AGGCCGGCAGCCUGCAAUGCCAUCGAUAGCUCAACGACGGGAAUUCCGAUGAUGCCAAAAACAUAUUCAACACCCUACCCCAAAGAGACAAAGAAAAAUUAAAAAAAAAAACAUGGUCAAAGAUCAAUGGAAACAUCCCUGGUACACACAUGCACAUAGUUAAUGUGGAUUAUAUGAACUUUGUUCGUAAAUUUAUUUUGAUUAAUAAAAAAAAGGGUGGAUUGGACGAAUUAAAAUUGCAAACGAGUACGACAAUAAUGGGAACAUGGAGGACGACAAUGAAAUUUUAAUUUUCGGCGAAAUUACCUGAGCCUUGAGACUUUCUGCGAUAAUUGUGAUUGCAUCGACUUCGGCCAUUGUUGAUUUUGCUGUUUAGACUUCUGUAUUGUUUUUUU